UGACUGAGGCCUCUCAGAGGUGUGACCUCUGUCUCCCUGUGGCUCACCAGGGUUGAUUCAUCCCAUCUGGCUAGCGAGGUGCUGCUCCUUUUCUUCCUCCUUCACCACUCCAUAUGCCCCUCCCAAUGCAGCCCACUGGGUCAAAGAGGAUGAGCUUCACCAUGGAGAGGGACCAGUCUUUGGUCAAAGACACACAAGCAGCUGCACUCCCAGCUAGGACCUCAAAACAAGCUCUCACAUGUGGGAACUAAGCCAAAUGUGGUUGCACAUGCCUAUGAUCCCAGAACCUGGGAAGUAGCAGAUCAUGGAGUUCAAGGCCAGAUGUGGCUAUAUGAGGCUUUAUCU
rnacentral:snRNA from 1 species